rnacentral:rRNA from 1 species
UACAGAGGGGGCAAGCGUUGUUCGGAAUUACUGGGCGUAAAGGGCGCGUAGGCGGCCCGCUAAGUCGAACGUGAAAUCCCCGGGCUCAACCUGGGAAUUGCGUUGGAGACUGCAAGGCUGGAGUCUGGCAGAGGGGGGUAGAAUUCCACGUGUAGCAGUGAAAUGCGUAGAGAUGUGGAGGAACACCGAUGGCGAAGGCAGCCCCCUGGGAUGAUACUGACGCUCAUGCACGAAAGCGUGGGGAGCAAACAGG